UACGGAGGGUGCGAGCGUUGUUCGGAAUCAUUGGGCGUAAAGGGCGUGUAGGUGGUCUGUUAAGUCAUGUGUGAAAGCCCUCAGCUUAACUGGGGAAGUGCGCAUGAAACUGACAGGCUAGAGUACCGAAGAGGAAGGUGGAAUUCCCGGUGUAGCGGUGAAAUGCGUAGAUAUCAGGAGGAACACCGAUGGCGAAGGCAGGUCUCUGGGCCACUACUGACGCUGAGAAGCGAAAGCAUGGGGAGCGAACAGG
rnacentral:rRNA from 1 species